rnacentral:rRNA from 1 species
UGGGGAAUUUUGGACAAUGGGCGAAAGCCUGAUCCAGCAAUGCCGCGUGUGUGAAGAAGGCCUUCGGGUUGUAAAGCACUUUUGUCCGGAAAGAAAUCCUUGGCUCUAAUACAGUCGGGGGAUGACGGUACCGGAAGAAUAAGCACCGGCUAACUACGUGCCAGCAGCCGCGGUAAUACGUAGGGUGCAAGCGUUAAUCGGAAUUACUGGGCGUAAAGCGUGCGCAGGCGGUUUGCUAAGACCGAUGUGAAAUCCCCGGGCUAACCUGGGAACUGCAUUGGUGACUGCAGGCUAGAGUAUGGCAGAGGGGGGUAGAAUUCCACGUGUAGCAGUGAAAUGCGUAGAGAUGUGGAGGAAUACCGAUGGCGAAGGCAGCCCCCUGGGCCAAUACUGACGCUCAUGCACGAAAGCGUGGGGAGCAAACAGGAUUAGAUACCCUGGUAGUCCACGCCCUAAACGAUGUCAACUAGUUGUUGGGGAUUCAUUUCCUUAGUAACGUAGCUAACGCGUGAAGUUGACCGCCUGGGGAGUACGUCGCAAGAUUAAAACUCAAAGGAAUUGACGGGGUC